UAACUUUCAACAACGGAUCUCUUGGCUCUCACAUCGAUGAAGAACGCAGCGAAAUGCGAUAAGUAAUGUGAAUUGCAGAAUUCAGUGAAUCAUCGAAUCUUUGAACGCAGAUUGCGCCCUUUGGUAUUCCGAAGGGCAUGCCUGUUUGAGUGUCUUAU
rnacentral:rRNA from 3 species